rnacentral:rRNA from 1 species
CAGCCGUAAACAAUGUGCGUUAGGUGUGUCGGUAACCACGUGUUACUGAUGCGCCGAAGAGAAAUCGUGAAACGCACCACCUGGGAAGUACGGUCGCAAGGCUGAAACUUAAAGGAAUUGGCGGGGGGAGCACCACAACAGGUGGAGCCUGCGGUUUAAUUGGAUUCAACACCGUAAAACUCACCAGGGAAGACUGUUACAUGAAAGCCGAGUUGAAGACUCUGCUAGAUUUUUCAGAGAGGAGGUGCAUGGCGUAGUCGUGU